UAAUAAUGCGCAAUAUUAGAAAACAUAAUCUCUGUUUUUUCUUUCUAGGUAAAGCCUUGAAUCAGUCAACAUAUCAUAUAAUUGCUCGUCUCUGCCUCUAUCCACUGUUUUGUAGCUCAUGAAAGAAAACUAAAUAUGGACUCUUUUGUAGCUUUCUAUUCCUCAACACUCACUCAUAUUUCCCCAUCCUCCGCCAGAUAACAAUAUAUGCAAUCCUUUUUGGGAUUUGUCGGAACUGCUUAAAGCUCUUGAACUUGGAGGAAAGAGGGGAGACGGUGAAAGUUAAAAGCAACUUCUUUGUGUCGAAAUUUCAUGUACAUUAAUCAGUGCGGAUGAAAUGGUUGUAAAAAUGUCUGAAUGGGCUUUCUUGUGUGUUUUUGUUAUUUGUUUGUGUUUU